AAUGCACCAAAUUGAAAGUCGCUCUGGAUAAGAGCGUCUGCUAAAUGACUUAAU
rfam:Salmo salar isolate Sally breed double haploid chromosome ssa16, whole genome shotgun sequence.